rnacentral:rRNA from 1 species
CGGGAGGCAGCAGUGAGGAAUAUUGGUCAAUGGACGAGAGUCUGAACCAGCCAAGUAGCGUGAAGGAUGACUGCCUAUGGGUUGUAAACUUCUUUUAUACGGGAAUAAGUGAGGCACGUGUGCCUUUUUGUAUGUACCGUAUGAAUAAGGAUCGGCUAACUCCGUGCCAGCAGCCGCGGUAAUACGGAGGAUCCGAGCGUUAUCCGGAUUUAUUGGGUUUAAAGGGAGCGUAGGCGGACGCUUAAGUCAGUUGUGAAAGUUUGCGGCUCAACCGUAAAAUUGCAGUUGAUACUGGGUGUCUUGAG